AUGUGUUUGUCAGGUAUCCAUGUCAUUCAAGGACGUGACUGUGAGCUUCACCCGGGAUGAAUGGCUACAGCUGACAGGUACACAGAGGACCCUGUACCAGGAUGUGAUGCUGGAGAACUACAGCCACCUGGUUUUUGUGGAGGCCCCAGUGUCCCAGCAGCUCAUAAGAAGUCUUAUCUCUUACCUCCCUCGGAGGGUAUUGCGUCACCAAACCAGAGGUGAUCUUCAGGUUGGAGCAAGGAGAAGAGCCUUGGCCACUAGAGGGAGAAUUCCCAGAUCAUUGUGAUCCAGGCGAGUUAAUCAUUACAGGGGGAAGCCAGAAGCCAGAGGAAACUGGGUCCCAGGUGUGUUGGUUCUGAGGUUGGGACCUGUGUCCUAUGUCUUAGGAUUUCUAUUUACUGUCCUCAGCCCUUUAGAAGUAACUAAACAGCAAGCCAGCAUACCUCAGAUAACCUUCCAUUUAUCACUCUGAAAUACAAAUGCUUUCCUUUUUUGCUGUUAGGGAAAUAGGCCAUUCCUGUCCCCAGUAUUGAAACCCUGCCUGUCUCAACUUAGACCUUCGUUCUUGGCUCCUCUUUUUCUAGUAUUCCUUUCCCUUCCAUUUUCAUGGCCUCUACCCGCACCAGCAGACAUUAAUUAAUUCUUCAAAUGUUCCUACUAUGCCACCCAUCAUCUUGGUGUUAGCGAUAUGCUGGUGAACAUAAGUGUCCCUCAGCUCUUAGAGCUUACCUGUUAGCAGGGGAGAUAGAUGUAAAAAAAUAAACCUACUUACCAAGUGGUGACAAGAACCAUGAAGAAAAUUAAAGCAAGCUAAAAGGAGAUAGGGUGUGGGGUGUGCUCUUUUAAAGAUUUUCUUUUUGAUGAGGUCAGCAUUAGAGCAGAUAAAGGAGUCAGGUGCAUUCUGGGGGUUCCAGACAGAAGGGAAAGCUGGGCCAAGUUCUUAUGGCAGGAUUUUAUUAGAGGUACUCUGGGAAUAGGGAGGCCAGUAUGGCUUUAGGGAAGCAUAUGAGAGGGAUGCUGGUGGGAGUGACAUCAGAGAGCUAGCCAGAGGGCAAGUGAUGUCUUUCAGGAUGGCAAGGGCUUUGACUUUAUUUUGAAUGAGAUGGUUAGCUAUUAAUGGGUUUCCACAAAUGAUUAUGUUUUUUUUUAUUAGGUAUCAUUGGUAAACAAUCUUAUGAAGGUUUCACAUGAGCGACAUUGUGGCUACUACAUUCACCCAUAUUAUCAAGUCCCCCACCCCACACUCCAUUGCAGUCACUGUCCAUCAGCAUAGUAAGAUGCUAUAGAGUCACUACUUGUCUUCUCCAUGCCAUAUUGUCUUCCCUGUGACCUACCUAUAUCAUGUGUGUUAAUCAUAAUGCCCCUUAUUCCCCUUCUCCGUUCCUCCCCACCCAUUCUCUUCACCCCCUUCCCUUUGGUAACCACUAGUCUCUUCUUGGAGUCUGUGAGUCUGCUGCUGUUUCGUUCCUUCAGUUUUGCUUUAUUGUUAUACUCAACAAAUGAGUGAAAUCAUUUGGUACUUGUCUUUCUCUGCCUGGCUUAUUUCACUGAGCAUAAUACCCUCUAGCUCCAUCCAUGUUGUUGCAAAUGGUAGAAUUUAUUUUCUUCUUAUGGAUGAAUAAUAUUCUUUUGUGUAUAUAUACCACAUCUUCUUUAUCCAUUCAUCUACUGACAGACACUUAGGUUGCUUCCAUAAAUUGGCUAUUGUAAAUAGUUGAGCGACAAACAUAGGUUUGCAUAUGUCAUUUUGAAUCUGGGAUCUUGUUUUUGGGUAAAUUCCUAGGAGUGGAAUUACUGGGUCAAAUGGUAUUUCUAUUUUUAGUGUUUUGAGGAACCUCCAUAUUGUUUUCCACAAUUGUUGAACUAAUUUACUUUCCCAUCAAUGGUGUAGGAGGUUUCCCCUUUCUCCACAUCCUUACCAGCAUUUGUUGUUUCUUGUCUUUUGGAUGUUGGCCGCCCUAACUCACAACUGAUUAUGUUUUAAAAGAAUUUCUUUGACUACCAUCCAGAGAAAAUUUGAGACAGAGGCAGGGGUGGUGGACAGAAAUAGAAGCAGAAAGACAAUGUGAAAUGCUGGCUCUACCAAAGCACCACCCAAAUCACCCAUUGGUAAGGGAAAUUUGUUUAUUGCACACCCUGACAGUCUUAGUAGCAUGAUGAUGGAGGGGAGUAAACAAAAAAAAAAUUUUAAUGAAGUUUGAGAAUAUGAAUUAAAGUAUAUUUUUUAAUGCAGGGGCUUGAUAACCACUGGGUAAGGACACUAAUGUAAUAGUUUAGGGUUUGUGGACACAGCAAGGAUUGAAGAGUCCUGGAGAAUAAAAGUUCAUUAUUUGUUGGAAAGUUGAGCAGUUUGUUUAUAAGGUUUUAGGGAAGCUUCUACAAAUGUGAGAAAUAGGUGAACUUGAAACCAUGAUAUAAAUGGAAGAACUGUUGAAAGCAGUAAAAAAUCAAAUGAACAUUAAAGUCAUUUGCAACUUUUAGUUUCCUGGGCAAGACUUUCCUGAUGUAGUAAAGUCCUAUUGAUGAAAACAUGGACUGGUAGUCAAGUUCAUGUGGAGACAAAGCUGUGGGGGUGUUGAUGGUUUCUGCUUUCCCCAGGGGAGGUGCUUGCAGGGCUCAGAUGAGAAACAGUUUGUGUGGGUAAUGUAGCAGUGGAGGGGAUGAACAUGGCUGUGUGUUCAGAGUAGGACUUGCUGUUGAAUAGAAUGUGGUGUGUGGGAUAAAGGCAAACUCAGUAUUUGAGCCACAUGAGGAGGUGGGUGGUGGUCACUGAGAUGGGAAAGUUGGUAGGAGCAGCUUGGGAGAAAAUUUUUAAUUGAUUAUUUUCGGAAUUGUCAGUGAUUUGAGAUGAUUAUUAACUUUUCAAGUUUAGAUAUUGAUGAAGCAUUUGGACAUACAAAUCUGGAGUUGGAGAAGACAGGAGUGCAGAUUAAAUUGGGAAGUUGCAAGUUAAGAGAUAUUCUGCAGUGAUGACCAAGCCUUGGGGAGUGAUGUGGAAAGAUUGUGGAAGGAAAACAAACAUUAGAAAUACACUGCCAUGAGUUCAUUCAGUAUACAUCAAAGGAAGAAAACACUUGUCUUGCACUGUGAGGCAGGAACAAUCCUGGCUGUUGGUGACACUAAGGCCAGUAGACACAGCUCCUGCCUCUGAGAAGCACUCAUGGAAACCCAGGAUGCACUCUGCUCCCUCAUGUUGCUUCCAGAACAUCAGCAAUGUCGGUUCUCCUCUUCCCUGACCACUCCUCCUCAGUCUCCUCUGCUGGCUCCACCUCUUCAAAAAGUCAUCCUGAAGUUCAAGGGCCCAAGGCUCAUUUUUUUUUUAUCCUUUCCUCUUUGCUAUCUGCACUCACUGCUCUGAUGGUGAUCCCAUCUGUCCUCAUAGCUUUAAUUACCAUCUAUAUAUCUACAUUCUCCAACUUUAUACCAUCAACUCAGGCUUCUCUCCUGAAUUCCAGACACAUACGUCCCAGAUCUCAAACUCAACCUGCCUGAAAUUCAACUGCCGUUCCAACCCAAACCUGUCCUUAUAGCUUACAGAAUGAGUUGAUCUGUAAUGUUGCCACAGUUAUCAAAGCAACAAGCAGUCAGACAACAUGCAACCUGGUUUUGUAUUUUAUUGCAAAGGGAAGCCUGCAGCAGGCCUGACCACGGCCUGCCACAAGAACUGUCAGUAACAGCUUGAUUCAGCUGUCCCUAAUUCCCAGCUGGGGAACUCAGAAUUCCCUUUCUUCCCAUUACACAUUCCGUGAGGGAAGAGCACAUUCCUGAAGAGGAAUCCUAGCCAUGCACACCUGCUCAUUUUGAGAACAUUUUUUAAAUGCAUAGUAAUAUCUGGAAGUGCAAAUAUUAAAGAAUCACAUGGCAAUGCUGGAAAAUAAAAGGGCAAAUAAGCUUGGAAGAAAAUGUUUACUAACAUGACACAAACUAGAAACAUAAAUAUUUUAAGACUAUUUGGUUUAAACAAAAUAGUAUAGGGGUAGAAAGGCUGGUGGUGGGCAUCAACAGGCAUGUCACAUAAAAACAGAAAUGGGCCAGUAUGGAAAGGCUAUAUACCGUAUGAGUCCAACUGUGUGACAUUCUAGAAAGAAAAAACUAAAGAGAUGGUAAAGGAUCAGUGGUUGUCAGGGGUUGGGAGUAGGGGGUAGCAAAUGAACAGGUGGUGCCCAGGGGAGUUUAGGGCGGCAGGUCUGUUCUGUGUGGCACUGUCCUGGUGGAUCCAUGUCAGUAUGUGUUUGUCAAAACUGGAACCAUACAACAAGAGUGCACCCUAAGGCAAAUGAUGGGCUUGAGGUCACAAUGACGGAUCACUUUGGGUCUGCCAUGUGAAACAACGUACCACACCAGUAAGACAUUAACAAUACUGGGAAAGGGAGAGGGUGUGUGGAACUCUUUUUUUCUGUAAGCCUAAGAUUGCCCUAAAAAUAUCUACUAAAAAACAGCUUCUAAAUAUGUGGAAGUAUACUCAACCUCACUCAUGAUUAAGAAAAGAAAAAACCCAAGCUACCAUCCCAGCACUGGGGCCUGUAUCAGCGGGCUACUCCAAGUCGUGUUCCUGUUCUGCCUGGCAUCUCACUAGAACCCAUGGCCCCACUGCCGCCACCCCUGCACUUCAUGCCGCUCACAGCAUCGGUCUCUUUACAUAUGACAGCUUUUUACCAGGUGACUCACUUUCCCAAUUGAAAGGUUUCAGGUUCUCCACAGGAUGAAAGGCCAGCUCAGGGCAGGCAGGCUCUCAGCCACACUCACUGCUCACCCACUCCAUCUCUGUUCCCUAUCAGGAGGCCCACAUCCUAAGGAAGCAGAUCCUCGCUGGCACGUCUGGAGCCUUCUCCAGUCCACCUCACACUGUCCCUGAGUGCCCUCACCAUCUGCACCUACCCAGAUCCUGACCUCUGAGGGCUGCCAGACUGCUUGAGGCCACUGAUGCUGAGCGACCAGGCCGCACAUCCUGAGGAUACAUCUGAAGCCAGACCGUGCUUUGUUGCCCUUUCAGAGAUCCCCCUGAAUUGACCAAGAUUCCAAUUACCUCCUGUAAUCACAUCCACAAAUUACCUCAAGAACAGAAGCUCCUUGAGAGAAAGAAUUCCCCCUUAAAAUCCUGUAGAGAACCUGAAGGCACUUGAUAGUAAUUUCUGAGAAGACAGACAAAAGGCUAGAUGAUGUGCAGGAACACCAAAGCCAAGGGCUGAGCGAGCAGGAAGCUUCCGUGGGGAGCUCUGCCGUCAGCAGAACCAUGGGUCUCCACAGGCCCAGAGCCAGGAGCUCCAGGUGCCAGGAGCUGAGAAGCACCCCUAUAAUCCCAAGCUCCCAAAAAAGUAAACAACAUCCACAGUGUGAGAAAGAUGGAACUUCAGAAAGAGUAGGAAAAUGCCAGUCUUCCCAGGUAGUGGGGUCUCCAACCCCCAGCCUCAGCCAAGGAGCUCCCUCCCUGAGAAGGGGGGGCAGUUCCUGUGCCACUGUCAACCCAGCUCUGCUGCCCAACUCUCUACAAGGCCCUCGGGCAAGUCUCCCCUCGCUCCCUGGUGUUAACUGUUCCUCAUGCUCUCCUGGACCAUCCCCAUUGCUAUUUUUCUCAUCAGAACAAAGCAAAAUAUAAAAUCCUUUCAACCUCAA